UACGUAGGGUGCAAGCGUUAAUCGGAAUUACUGGGCGUAAAGCGUGCGCAGGCGGUUGUGCAAGACCGAUGUGAAAUCCCCGGGCUCAACCUGGGAAUGGCAUUGGUGACUGCACGGCUAGAGUGUGUCAGAGGAGGGUAGAAUUCCACGUGUAGCAGUGAAAUGCGUAGAGAUGUGGAGGAAUACCGAUGGCGAAGGCAGCCCCCUGGGAUAACACUGACGCUCAUGCACGAAAGCGUGGGGAGCAAACAGG
rnacentral:rRNA from 1 species